UGCGUAAAUAUUAAGUCACUGGAACACAAUUAAAAUGAUAAUUUUCAGGGGAAGACAUUCUUGCAGUUGGAUUCUGCAAAUCCAUGGCAGAAGGUCUGUGUUUCUAGAAAAAUAAUAAUAUUCCAUGCAAGUUAAAUUUCUUGCUGAAAUUAAACUGAUAUUGAAAAGAUCCACAGUGAUUGCCACCUCCAGUCUUGCUGUAAUAUUGUAUUACCCAUGGUAUUUAGUAAUAGCCCACUGAAAAAUGUAAGUAAAGGCAAAA